rnacentral:lncRNA from 1 species
CAUUGGGUCAUUGAAGUAAUUAACACAGCUUUUCUUUCUCGCCCUAUAUUAGAACUCUGCAUGAGGUAGUCUUUUACUUAAAUAUAUAUUAUAACCGAGAGGUUAUGAUGUUGACUUCUCCAUAUCAUGCUUUUAUUCACAGUUCGAAUACUAAUACAAGAGUCCAUAAAAUUUUUUGGGAAUUAUUUAUGAGCUCCUGUUACGAAAAUUUGAGCUAUCAUUUGAAGAGAUGAGAUGAAUUUUUGCCCACACUUGAAAGGACCUUGGCAUGAAAUUUUGCUGGUGUAAUGUCACUCACAGUUUGCUCUCUUAGAUAAAUCUGAAGUUUUGUUUGAUACCCAUCCAUUUGGCGGGGCCCCUUUGAUGAAGUGAAACCUAUUGAAGUUCUCUAAUUUUCUUUUGUAAAAUUUAUUUUUGGUGUGACUGGGCAGAUUGUAUUUGCAACUGAAGGAAAAGAGGAGUCAAAGAUCACCGUAGAGAAUGCAAACGUUGUUGAGAUGAUCAAGAAAUGGUACUUGGGUGGAACAAGG